UAGGGAAUAUUGCUCAAUGGGCGAAAGCCUGAAGCAGCAACGCCGCGUGUGCGAUGAAGGUCUUCGGAUCGUAAAGCACUUUUCUGAGAGAUGAGAAAGGACAGUAUCUCAGGAAUAAGUCUCGGCUAACUACGUGCCAGCAGCCGCGGUAACACGUAGGAGGCGAGCGUUAUCCGGAUUCACUGGGCGUAAAGCGCGUGCAGGCGGUUUGGUAAGUUGGGCGUGAAAGCUCCCGGCUCAACUGGGAGAGGUCGUCCAAUACUACCAGACUAGAGAGCAGAAGAGGAAGAUGGAAUUCCCGGUGUAGUGGUGAAAUGCGUAGAUAUCGGGAGGAACACCAGUGGCGAAGGCGAUCUUCUGGUCUGUUUCUGACGCUCAGACGCGACAGCUAGGGUAGUAAACGG
rnacentral:rRNA from 1 species